GUUUUCUAAAAGACUAUUUGGUCCGUAAUAAUUGUAAAAUGCCAAAAGCAAGGAAAGCACUUCCUGACUUAUACACAGAAAGGGUAUUAUCCCGUAGAUAUUAUGGAGCGUACAAAUGCUUGGCCUUGCUGACUCCUCUCGUUUAUAGUGCAUACAAGAUAAUUACCGAAGGAAGGAGCUACAUACCAGGCAACAGCACAGGCAGGAAUACGGGCUUCUCCUCAGAAAUCAGAAACAGCAAAUCAAAAGGUGCGUCAUACAUACCUUGCUUCAACAUUUCUCUAGGCGAUAUUCAAUGUUGCCACUUUUUGGAAGUGUUGUUGAACCUUGUAUUUGCGGACACCAAUUGUUUUGGAUCUUAUAGAACCCACAAACACCAAAAUUGGAUUGAGGUUCUGAAAAGAUGAAUUCAGAAAAAAUAAUGGAAGAAGGUAGAGAGAAAAUUUACAAUGGAGUUGAACAUGUAUUAAAUGAUACCAGUAGAGGUCUAGAGGAUAGCCAUAAUAAAUAAAAUUGAUUGGGAUAUGUUUAUUGGUUUUGAGUGUAGAAUAUGAAAUACUUAAAGCUUACAUUUCUCUGAUUCCCAGCGUCUUCAAUGUUCCCUGUCCUUCUGUUGCUUCUGUUGCCAUAUGUACUCCAACCAGCAUCAAUAAGGGCAUUAAGCAAUAGGACUGAUGUGGAUUCCUUGCUGGCAUUCAAGGCAAGCCUAAGAAACCAGCAUGGUGUCCUAACUGCAUGGAACACAACUACUGACUUCUGCCAGUGGCCAGGCAUCGGUUGCAGCCUUAAGCACAAUCAAAGGGUCAUAGUGCUUAACCUCUCUUCGGAGGGCCUUGGUGGCACGAUCGCACCUCCAAUUGGGAACCUCUCCUUCUUGAGAAUUCUAGACCUCAAGCGGAACAAUCUGCAAGGUGAAAUACCUUCAUCCAUUGGUUGCCUGUCUCGCCUACGAUAUCUUGAUUUAUCCAACAACUCACUUCAUGGUGAUGUAAAUGCUGAAUUGAAGAAUUGCACCAGCCUUGAAAGAAUAAACAUUGGCUCAAACCGUUUGACUAGAGAAAUUCCUGCUUGGCUUGGAGACUUGUCAAGUCUCAAGGUCAUAAGCCUGGCCAUAAACAACUUGACUGGAAUCAUCCCGUCAUCACUUACCAAUCUCUCGGCAGUGCAAAGAAUCUACUUCACCGCAAACCAACUAGAGGGUACCAUCCCUGAGGGCCUUGGCAAACUCGGUAGCCUCUUCUCAAUACGCCUAGGAGUAAAUCACCUCUCAGGCACCAUCCCUACAGCUCUCUUCAACAUUUCUUCUCUAAUAGAAUUUGGCGUGGAGGUAAAUGAAGUAGGCGGCAAACUUCCCUCAGAUUUAGGGAAUCGCCUCCCGAACCUCGAGGUCCUACACCUUGGCGGUAACCACUUUACAGGAAACCUUCCAGCUUCUCUUGUCAAUUCAACUGAGAUAUCUGAGCUAGAUGUUGUCUACAACAACUUCACUGGAAGAUUGCCUCCAGAAAUUGGAAUGCUCUGCCCAGACUACCUCAGUCUUGGAAUAAAUCAGUUCAUGGCAAAUAGUGUGCAGGACUGGGAGUUUAUGACUUUGUUGACAAAUUGCACACGCCUCCGAAUAUUUAACCUCCAAUUCAACAUGCUAGGUGGUGUGCUCCCUAGCUCAGUUGCCAAGUGACACCAUAGGAAGGCUAAAUAAACUACAAGUCCUGGAGUUAGAACAUAACCUACUGACAGGGUUCUUGCCAUCCUCCCUUGGGAACUUGACACAGCUACUAUAUCUGUACACAGAUAACAACACGUUUGAGGGGACUCUUCCGGCAAGCCUCAGGAGCCUACAAGAGGUAACUAUAGCAACAUUUUCCAACAAUAAGUUCACAGGUCCAUUGCCAAAAGAGAUUUUUAACCUAUCGUCCCUGUCAGACACCCUAGAUCUGUCAGGCAAUUACUUUGUUGGUCCUCUUCCACCUGAAGUAGGCGACCUAACAAAGCUUGCAUACUUAUACUUAUCCCGGAACAACUUAUCAGGGCCCCUACCUAAUGCACUCAGCAAUUGCCAAAGCUUAACAGAAAUCAGGUUGGACGAUAACUCCUUCGAUAGUAGCAUCCCCUCAUCUAUAAGCAAAAUGCGAGGUCUCAUGUUGCUAAAUCUUAAUAAGAACACGCUUUCAGGUGUGAUUCCUCAAGAUUUAGCUCUAAUGAGUGGCCUUCAAGAGUUAUACCUUGCACACAACAACUUGUCUGGUCAUAUCCCAGAAAACUUGGAAAAUAUGGCAUCGAUGUACCAGUUAGACCUGUCCUUCAACCAUCUGGAUGGCAAAGUUCCAUCACGAGGAGUUUUUAGUAAUGCAUCUGGGUUUUCAUUUGUUGGGAAUUUGGGGCUUUGUGGUGGUAUACUAGAGUUAGAUUUGCCCCCAUGCCAGCCGGAAUCCGUGGGACAUGGCUUGAGCAAACGCCAUUUGACUAUCAUCCUAGUUACCACAAUGGCAGGCAUAAUUCUGGCUUUGAGUUCGAUGCUUGUUUUCUUCACAAUGAGAAAGAAAUCAAAAGCUCGGCCUACAACCACAGGAGGAUUCCAGUUGAUGGACAGUUACCCUAGAGUUACUUAUGCUGAAUUGGUCCAAGGAACAAGUGGCUUUGCAGUAGACAAUUUGAUUGGCAGAGGAAGGUACGGAUCGGUGUACAAGUGUUGUUUGCUGCUCAAAAAUAUGAUGACCACAGUAGCUGUAAAGGUUUUUGAUCUACAACAGUCUGGCUCUUCCAGAAGCUUUCUAGCUGAGUGUGAGGCACUUAGUAAGAUCCGACAUCGUAAUUUGAUUAGUCUCAUAACUUGUUGUUCAAGCAAUGACUCAAACCAAAACGACUUCAAAGCCAUUGUUUUCGAGUUCAUGCCUAAUGGGAGCCUAGAUAGGUGGUUACACAUGGAUGUACAUGUAUCGCAUCAACUGCAAGGCUUGACAUUGAUGCAGAGACUAAAUAUUGCAGUUGAUAUUGCUGAUGCGAUAGAUUAUUUACACAACAAUUGUGAACCGCCAAUAAUUCAUUGUGACUUGAAGCCAAGCAACAUUCUUCUCAAUGAGGAUUUAGUUGCUCAAGUUGGGGACUUUGGCCUUGCAAAGAUUCUUUCCGAACCAGCAGCUGACCAACUGAUCAAUUCAAAGAGCACAGUUGGAAUAAGGGGAACAAUUGGAUACGUCGCUCCAGAAUAUGGCGAAGGUGGUCAAGUUUCUUCUUGUGGAGAUGUGUACAGCUUCGGAACUGUCAUCCUCGAGUUGUUUACAGGCAUGGCACCUACUCAUGACAUGUUUAGAGACGGGUUGACCCUGCAGAAACAUUUCGAGAAUGCAUUUCCAGGGAUGCUAAUGCAGAUUGUUGAUCCAGUCCUACUGUCCAUUGAAGAAGCCAAUGCUAAUAGUUUGCAGGAUGCAAACAACACAAUGGAACAUGCCAUAUUCUCUGUCAUGAAGGUUGCGCUAUCAUGCAGCAAGCAUGCACCGACAGAGAGAAUGUGCAUCAGAGAUGCUGCUGCUACGAUUCACAGGAUAAGGGAUGGUUAUGUUAAAGCAAGACAAAAUGAGGGGGUUGUUACAGCUGCAUUUACCGCAAGGCAUUUUGCUGAAACAUCCAGGGCAGCCCCUUGAACUGGCUUCACACACGCACUCUUAAUUAAUGGCUUUGUAGUAGUUAUAUAUUGCACUCGUAUGGUUUUGAUAUGUUAGUUUCUGGCUGGUGAUGUUCUCUUAGCUUGUUGAUCUGCCGUUUGCAGCCUAUCUGUCACUCUACCUUCAACAGUUAAUAUGGUUUGUAUAUUGGGAUGCCCAUCAUGAACUGGUAAUAUCAUUUGUAUCGGCUACUAUUUGUGCUAAAUACAAAUAUUAGUGAAUCCCUUCCAUCUAAAUGACUG
rnacentral:rRNA from 1 species